GUAAGAGUUACUUCAGAUCUGCAGGGCAGAGUCUUCAGGUUAACUUCUCUACUUGGAACUACUAUGUACCCCAGCAGAAGGACAACAGUACUUAGAAUUGCAGGUAGCUUACUAAUCUCUGUGGGACUCAGGGAGAGAAAGCCUUAAAGAAGUCUGUGUGCAACUUGAAGACAACUAUUUCUCUGACUUGCACGAUCUUUCUCCAAGCACCUGACACUGACCUUUUGGGCCUGGCUCCCACCUCCUGUAAUUUCUUCUCUCUGCAACUCCUGCAUUCGUUUACAGGGGGCAUGUGUAAUGCAGAACGCUGUUACACCAAACACAUGAAGUUCUUGGCUUGGUCUCUGCGUUAAAACAACACGAACUGCAGUGCUGACUCAUGGACACCUGUGACGUUGUUCAUGGCAGCAACAGAUAUUUGAGGAUACGCUUUCCAAUACAUGGUUUGUACCUGUGCGACUGGCAUUGCACCCUCCCCGAGUGUAAUUCAUUCCAAUGUAAGCUCUGCAGUUUUGCAAAUCAGAUUAUCGUUCCUUAGGAACCCUGAUAUAUGUCUGGAGCUUUUCUCUUGCAGUACUUCUUACAUAGAGUAAGAGCAUACUUAACUAAAAUGUGUGGUGUGCCACCAUCAAAACCUGAAGGAACACAUCCUGUUUGAAAGCUAGCUUUUCAAAUGCACACAACCAAAUUUGUAU